CAGGAGCCAGGCAAGUGGAGACAGAAUAUCACUUUCCCAGCUGUUAAACCUGCGUGGGAUUGUGGUUUAGGGCCUAUAGGCCACACAGGUUGGCUGUGUCCUUGUGCCUGAACCUGUCACAGUCUCCAGGCAUGGCGCGGGCAGAGGUGGACAGCUGCAGGCUCUUGAACGGCUGCUGCUGUGGAAGUGUGGAGUGACCUGUCUGCAGAGGGACGGCUCAGGAGAGAGGAAGCGUGUAUGGGAGAGCACUGAUCUUUCUAAAACCCUCCGAUCAGCAAGUUCUUUUCUUUCCCUGGGGAUGUAUAGGGGAAGGAAAGGAGAAUGCAGGUCCCUCCAUCAUGAAAGAGGAAUGGGAAACAGUGCUCACCCUCAGCAGUGCAGAAGAGGGUUAGACCCAAGCUGUCUGAUUCUGUAGGGUGGCACUAGUGACAAAGGAUAUGUGCUUGCAGGAGGCGAACUGCAGACCUAUGUAAGAAACAAAAAUGAUAUUGGGUGCUUAUUACAUGACUGCAUCCUAAAGGGUUGCCUCAGUAGGUCUGGGAUGAAAUAUCUUUGAAAACUGCGCAUUUCAGGGACUCCUGAGAGAUGCCCUUUAAGCCUUUGCAAUAUUUGGACUGAUAGGAGUAUCUUUGUUUUCCCGGGGCCUUUGCCCACACUGGGUAGUUUAGGCUAACACUGUGAUUUAUGGUGAGGCGCCUGGGUCACCAUGUAUCAGUGUGACCUCUGCAGAAGCAGCAGACUGAAUAACUAAGGUCAGCCACGCAGGUGCUCCACAGCUACGCGAUAAGCCACCACUAAGAAUACUGGACACCAGGAUGUGGAGGAGCUGCCUUGGCUGACACAACUCUGAAUAUGUUGUCAUGUGUUCUCACUGGGAAAACUGGGUAUCAUCCAUGCGGCUGUCCUGGGAGAGGACAGCUGGAAGCUGGGUGGUCUCUCCUGGGCUCUGACUUUUGUCUUUUUGGGUUCUAAUCUGUACCCUUCUGCUGCCAUGGUUACUAACUGCAACCAUAGUAACUUUUCUUAAUUCUACAAGUUCUAGUGAGUUCCAGAACCCGAGAGGUGGUCCUUGCACCCACAACAUAGACCUAGAUGCAUUUGACUUUGCUUUGCGAGGUCAGUCUCACAACAGCCACGUGAGUUAGGCACCGCUGGGACACAAGAAGAAACGGAGGCACGGAGACGUGAAGUAACUUGCCUAGGAGUCCCUGGUUUCACCCCAGAAGCCAGAGACCUGAGAUACUCCAAAGGAUGCCAGGGAAACUAUGAAGCCCUUCAGACAGGGAGCAGCCCGAAUGCAUCAGUCAUCACCAUCCGGGGGAGAACCAACCUGUCCUGGUUUAACUGGGACUGUGCUGGUUUUGAAGUGGAAAGUCCUCUGUGCCGGGAGCCCUCUUGGUUGUUUGCAAACUAGGAUGGUUGAUCAUUUUACAUUCAACAAAAACACCUUGCCACAGGAGAUGGUAGAAAGACCAAGUGGCCAAUCUGGUAUUUAAAUUAACAACAACUCAGCUUCUGCCUGGCACAAGAAUGUCAUCUUACCCUUCAC
ensembl:lncRNA